rnacentral:piRNA from 1 species
UAUUUCUUCCGAGUCAGAAAUCCCA